AUACGUAGGUGACAAGCGUUAUCCGGAUUUACUGGGCGUAAAGGGCGUGUAGGCGGUCUUGCAAGUCAGAAGUGAAAUUCCUGAGCUCAACUCGGGCGCUGCUUCUGAAACUGCAGGACUUGAGUGCUGGAGGGGAUAGCGGAAUUCCUAGUGGAGCGGUAAAAUGCGCAGAUAUUAGGAAGAACACCGGUGGCGAAGGCGGCUAUCUGGACAGUAACUGACGCUGAGGCACGAAAGCGUGGGGAGCAAACAGGAUUAGAUACCCUGGUAGUCCACGCUAUAAACGAUGAGUGCUAGGUGUCGGGGGUCAAACCUCGGUGCCGCAGUUAACACAUUAAGCACUCCGCCUGGGGAGUACGGCCGCAAGGCUGAAACUUAAAGGAAUUGACGGGG
rnacentral:rRNA from 1 species